rnacentral:rRNA from 1 species
GACGAACGCUGGCGGCGUGCUUAACACAUGCAAGUCGAACGGAAAGGCCCUGCUUUUGUUGGGUGCUCGAGUGGCGAACGGGUGAGUAACACGUGAGUAACCUGCCCUUGACUUUGGGAUAACUUCAGGAAACUGGGGCUAAUACCGGAUAGGAUCUCCUGCUGCAUGGUGGGGGUUGGAAAGUUUCGGCGGUUGGGGAUGGACUCGCGGCUUAUCAGCUUGUUGGUGGGGUAGUGGCUUACCAAGGCUUUGACGGGUAGCCGGCCUGAGAGGGUGACCGGCCACAUUGGGACUGAGAUACGGACCAGACUCCUACGGGAGGCAGCAGUGGGGAAUAUUGCACAAUGGGCGGAAGCCUGAUGCAGCAACGCCGCGUGCGGGAUGACGGCCUUCGGGUUGUAAACAGAUUUCGCCUGUGACGAAGCGUGAGUGACGGUAAUGGGUAAAGAAGCACCGGCUAACUACGUG